rnacentral:misc_RNA from 1 species
UUUUCGUAGGUGAACCUGCGGAAGGAUCAUUAGUGAAUUUAUAAAAGGUCGGACUCUGCAAAGAGGCAAGACCUUUUAACCCACUAUUUUCAAACACUUUGUGCUCUCGUUCAUUCUUUUAUGAUGCCUCACGGCGUCGUAUAUUGAAACACUUGUGCAUCUACAAAAAGUUUAAGAAUGAAAAAUUUGAUAAUGAAAGAAAAACUUUCAGCAAUGGAUCUCUUGGCUCUCGCAUCGAUGAAGAACGCAGC